rnacentral:lncRNA from 1 species
AAUGUAACAGAGAGUCAAACACUACCCAUAUGAAAGGAAAGGAAACGAAGAGGGGAUUAGGAGAUAAGAAUCCCGGAAGGUUACUGCAGAAGAUUCGUGUCCGUGUUGGCUUCAACCAUUGGAGACCAAAAGUUUGUUGCAGCCUUUGAACAGAGUCGUCGAGCAGAAGAGUAAAUUUAAGACAGACCCCUCAAUGCAGCAACGGAGUGACAGUUGAAGAGUGCAGAGUUUUGAUUUAAGACACAACCACCCAAGUACCUUCCUAGUUUUUUUGGUUGUGGAAUGUCCCUAGUGCUUAGUUUGUUCAUUAGAGAAAGCCAGAGAAAAUAUUUGACCUUUUAUGGUGCUUUAAUUUCCUACAAUGAUUUGACAAGAGGAAUUAAGGAUAUGAAUUAUGAAUGGCUUUUUUCAGGCAAUGAGAUGCUUUUUAGAUGUGUCAAAUUGAUACACUUGAUGCAAUGAAACUUUUGGCAUUCUGCGGCAGUAUUGUUUGUGGAGAAGGGUUUGUUGGAAGUUAAUGCACUUAGAACCUAUUUUAAUUACUGUUGUCUUUCCUAUGCAGUCCAAGUUGUAUGGUCAAUGUGUCUCUUCAUUUCUCUAUGAUCAUGUCUGCUCUCUUUAAUAUUCCAUAUCUGUUCAAUGUGUUUUAAGAAAAUUUGUAAGCCCUAUUGUCUUGUAAGGAAGUCUAAAAGACAUAAGCAAAAUCCCUUCAGAAUAUUGCCUCUGUUACUCUCUGCACAUCUGAUUUAUGAGCUCUGCUGUAGCAACUCAAGUUUGAUUAAAUUAGAAACUUUAUUCAGGUUCUUUAGACAACCAACAACUGGUAUCAGAGCUGUGUUUCAAUAGAUAUAUCUGGGCGUAUUUCUCCCACAAAAG